CAGUUACCUCGGGUGCACACCCGAACUGUGCUAUGCGCCCGGGGAAGUUGAGCACGGAUUCUGGAGCGGAAACAUCGCUCUCGGGGGCUCCAUCGAGUUCUCGUGUCAAAAACACUUCACCUUGCGCGGAGCCAGCAAGCUGACCUGUGACCCAGCCACGAAGAAAUGGUCGUCGACAGCUCCGCGCUGCGAGCAGACCUCCAACGCAACGCAGAGUAGCAACCACAGCGUGGGGGAGACACCUCGCCAAGGCAGCCCCACUCGAGGCCCAACUCAGAGGACGUCGUCGCCAACGCACGAGGCCAACAGCACGGCGCAGGUUCAACUUCCCUGGGGUGAAACUGUGUCACCCAAUCAACCACAUGUCACCCAAUCAACCCAUGUCACCCAAUCAACCCAGGCCAGCCAAUCAACCC